rnacentral:snRNA from 1 species
AUCACUACUUGGCCUUUUGGCUAAGAUCAAAUGUAGUAUCUGUUCUUAUCAGUUUAAUAUCUGAUAUGUCCUCUAUCUGAGGACAAUAUAGCAAAAGGAUUUUUGGAACUCGGACUUGAAAUAGGAACUUGCUCCAUCCACUUCAUGCAUCGACCUGAUAUUGCAGUGCCUCUAGGACCGGUGCACCCCCU